UACGUAGGUGGCGAGCGUUGUCCGGAUUUACUGGGCGUAAAGAGCGCGCAGGCGGUCAAGCAAGUCGAAUGUGAAAGCCCCCGGCUCAACUGGGGAGGGUCAUUCGAUACUGCUCGACUCGAAGGCAGGAGAGGGAAGUGGAAUUCCCGGUGUAGUGGUGAAAUGCGUAGAUAUCGAGAGGAACACCUGCGGCGAAGGCGGGUUGCUGGGCUGAUACUGACGCUGAGGCGCGAAAGCCAGGGGAGCGAACGGG
rnacentral:rRNA from 1 species